GGGGCCGCCGAGGCUGAAGUCCGGGGAGCCGAGCCGCCUCCUUGCCUUCUCCGCGGGCCGCUCUUUUAGCCUGCGCGGCCGUCCUCCGAGCAGGCCGCCCCAGCUUUGGAGUUCCUCCUCACUGCACCCCUGUUUCUGCUCAGUGAGACCAGCUUGUGGGAAGGAGCGCCCCCCGCCUCACUCACCAACCCCUUGGCUGGCAGCACAGCAGACUCUGGGGCGGCCUCGGGUUCCUGGGGUGAUAGUCCAGCUUCUGGUCUACCAGAGGAAGAAGGAAGGUGUGUCCCCCAAAGGCUGUCCUUGCAGUAGCUGGAAGCCAGAAUCUCACUCUGUUGCCCAGGCUGAAGUGCAUGGCGCGAUCUCGGCUCGCUGCAACCUCCACCUCCCGGGUUCAAGCAAUUCUCCUGCCUCAGCCUCCUGUGUAGCUGGGAUUAUAGGCACGCUCCACCGCGCCUGGCUAAUUUUUGUAUGUUUUUAGUAGAGGUGGGGUUUCACCAUGUUAGCCAGGGUGGUCUCACACCCUUGACCUCAAGUUGUCUGCCCGCCUCAGUCUCCCAAAGUGCUGGGGUUACAGGCAUGAGCCACCAUACCCAGCCACAGUGUAAAUUUUAUUUGUAAUUAUUGGAUUUCUGGUUCAAGUUGAUGUUUGAAAAAUAAAAAAAGAAAAAUAUUUUAAAAAUAUAA